rnacentral:lncRNA from 1 species
CUGAAAAUCCCAGACAGAAACUUAACAGAAGCCUUACUCUCCUGGUAAGGCUGGGCUGGAGGUGAGGAAACCGGGGUCACCUGCUAACCUCUGCUCUACCUUCCAGAAGUGUGGGCCCCAGAGCCUCGUUGUCUGCCGCUGCUCCUCAGCCUGCUCAGAGCUCAGGCAGCAGGAAAGCGCCUGUCUCCCCAGCACACAUCUUGAUGCUGGGCAAGGUCGUCUGUAUCCUGAUGGGCAAAGGCAGUCGUGCAGGCACAGGUGGCUCAAGAGGCUGAGUCGGGCUGUGCUCUGACUCUGAGGAGGAAGAUGGUGGCCAUUGGGUGAACACCCCAGUCUCUCCAAGUAUGUUGACCGGAGUCUGCUUGUCCAUCAUCCCUCCACCUUUCUGUGCACCCAUGUAAUGUCUUUUUCCUGGUAAGAUAGGGAGUCCCUGUGUCUUGGCCUCUCCAGUCCCUAGACUUGUGUCAGGCAUGAGGUUGUGCUCAGGGGCCAGUGUACGAUGGCAGGGCUGGGGUAGGUCGUGCAGUACAUAGAAGGUUGGGUGGCUUUGGGUCCUCUUCUAGACACCAUAGACACAUGGGAGAUGUGGCAGUGAGGUGAAUGAACAGGGAUGAGGUCAGGCAGGGGAGUGAGGCUGGAAUAGGCUGUGUGUUCUUAGGCUGGCCGCAGGCCUCAGAGUGUGUCCUUGGGUUGGAUGUAGGAUGCAGAGGGCAGGCUUAGAGUGCAGGUUGCAGAGGGCAGGCUUAGAGUGCAGGCUGCAGAGGGCAGGCUUAGAGUGCAGCAUGCAGAGAGCAGGAUUAGAGUGCAGGUGCAGAGGGCAGGCUUAGAGUGCAGGCUGCAGAGGGCAGGCUUAGAGUGCAGCAUGCAGAGAGCAGGAUUAGAGUGCAGGCUGGAGAGGGCAGGAUUAGAGUGCAGGCUGGAGAGGGCAGGAUUAGAGUGCAGGCUGCAGAGGGCGGGCUUAGAGUGUAGGCUGCAGAGGGCAGGAUUAGAGUGCAGGCUGAGGAAGCAGGGUUAAAGUGCAGGCUGCAGAGGGCAGGCUUAGAGUGUAGGCUGCAGAGGGCAGCAUUAGAGUGCAGGCUGCAGAGGGCAGACUUAGAGUAUAGGCUGCAGAGGGCAGGAUUAGAGUGCAGGUGCAGAGGGCAGGAUUAGAGUGCAGGUGUAGAAGUCAGGGUUAGAGUGCAGGUGCAGUGGGUAGGGUUAGAGUGCAGGCUGCAGAGGGCAGGCUUAGAGUGUAGGCUGCAGAGGGCAGCAUUAGAGUGCAGGCUGCAGAGGGCAGGAUUAGAGUGCAGGCUGAGGAAGCAGGGUUAAAGUGCAGGCUGCAGAGGGCAGGCUUAGAGUGUAGGCUGCAGAGGGCAGCAUUAGAGUGCAGGCUGCAGAGGGCAGGAUUAGAGUGCAGGUGUAGAAGUCAGGGUUAGAGUGCAGGUGCAGUGGGUAGGGUUAGAGUGCAGGCUGCAGAGGGCAGGCUUAGAGUGGAGGUGCAGAGGGCAGCAUUAGAGUGCACGUGCAGAGGGUAGGGUUAGAGUGCAGGUGCAGAGGGUAGGGUUAGAGUGCAGGCUUAAGAGGGCAGGAUUAGAGUGUAGGUGCAGAGGGCAGGAUUAGAGUGAAGGCUGCAGAGGGCAGGGUUAGAGUGCAGGCUGCAGAGGGCAGGCUAACAGUGCAGGCUGCAGAGGGCAGGAUUAGAGUGCAGGUGCAGAGGGCAGGAUUAGAGUGCAGGUGCAGAGGGCAGGAUUAGAGUGCAGGUGUAGAGGGCCGGGUUAGAAUGCAGGUGCAGAGGGUAGGGUUAGAGUGCAGGCUGCAGAGGGCAGGAUUAGAGUGCAGGCUGCAGAGGGCAGGAUUAGAGUGCAGGCUGCAGAGGGCAGGAUUAGAGUGCAGGUGCAGAGGGUAGUGUUGGAGAGCAGGCUGCAGAGGGCAGAAUUAGAGUGGAGGUGCAGAGGGCAGGAUUAGAGUGCAGGUGCAGAGGGUAGGGUUAGAGUGCAGGUGCAGAUGGUAGGGUUAGAGUGCAGGUGCAGAGGGCAGGAUUAGAGUGCAGGCUUCGGAGGGCAGGAUUAGAGUGACCUAUUGCGAUUGCUUCUAGGCAGACAUUUAAG